GUCCUAGCCCUAAACGAUGAACACUUGGUGUGGCGGGUACCCAAUCCCGCCGUGCCGGAGCUAACGCGUUAAGUGUUCCGCCUGGGGAGUACGGUAGCAAGGCUGAAACUCAAAGGAAUUGACGGGGGCCCGCACAAGCGGUGGAGCAUGUGGUUCAAUUCGACGCAACGCGAAGAACCUUACCUGGGCUCGAAGCGCAGUGGACCGGGGUGGAAACAUCCCUUCCCGCAAGGGCUGCUGCGUAGGUGCUGCAUGGCUGUCGU
rnacentral:rRNA from 1 species